ACCUGGCUGGCUCAGUCAAUAGAGUGUGUGAUUCUUGAUCUCAGGGUUGUGGGUUCAAGCCCCAUGUUGGGUA
rnacentral:tRNA from 1 species